GCCGUGAGGAGGAGCAGAAUGUUGUUUUGGAAUUCUGCAAAGGGCCAAGGGAGCAAAUAAGCAUUUGGAAUGAUUUGCUAUGGCCCAGCAGUCAUCUAGGCUCCAGACACUGGGUCAACCCAAGCUACAGGGUUGACCGCUGCUCGUCAGAUAGGGGGACAUUGCAAAAUCACACCCUCAAGACUUGACCAGUCUUCUCAAGAAGGUAUCAGUUUUGCUAAUGUUCUAUUUAUACUAUUUUUCUGUAAUAUGUUUCAUUAUGUACUGUCUUCAUUGGUAAUGUACUUGUACCUUUUCAUCUCUGUCUCUCUGCUAUCAAAAACAUUUUGUUGGUGGAUGACUCUAUGUUUAAAUAUUGAGAUAUGAAACCGUUUCUUG